rnacentral:rRNA from 1 species
AGAGUUUGAUCCUGGCUCAGGAUGAACGCUAGCGGCAGGCUUAACACAUGCAAGUCGAGGGGCAGCAUACCCGGCAACGGGUGAUGGCGACCGGCGUAAGGGUGAGUAACGCGUGAGCAACAUACCCGUAUCAGGGAGAUAAUACAGGGAAACUUGUUCUAAUAUUCCAUAAUAUUAUCCAGAGGCAUCUUUGGAUACUUAAAGUUACGACGGAUACGGAAUGGCUCGCGUGACAUUAGUUAGAUGGUAGGGUAAUGGCCUACCAUGACUAUGAUGUCUAGGGGUUCUGAGAGGGAGGUCCCCCACACUGGAACUGAGACACGGUCCAGACUCCUACGGGAGGCAGCAGUGAGGAAUAUUGGACAAUGGAUGGAAAUCUGAUCCAGCCAUGCCGCGUGCAGGAAGGCGGCCCUAUGGGUUGUAAACUGCUUUUGUACGGGAGCAAUAAGGUCUACGAGUAGAUUGAUGAGAGUACUGUACGAAUAAGCAUCGGCUAACUCCGUGCCAGCAGCCGCGGUAAUACGGAGGAUGCGAGCGUUAUCCGGAUUUAUUGGGUUUAAAGGGUGCGUAGGCUGUUAUUCAAGUCAGUGGUAAAAGGUACAGGCUUAACUUGUAUGCGCCAUUGAUACUGAAUAGCUAGGAUAUGGAUGAAGUGUGCGGAAUGUGUGGUGUAGCGGUGAAAUGCAUAGAUAUCACACAGAACACCGAUAGCGAAGGCAGCACACUAAGGCAAUAUUGACGCUGAGGCACGAAAGUGUGGGGAUCAAACAGGAUUAGAUACCCUGGUAGUCCACACUGUAAACGAUGAUAACUAGCUGUUGGCGAUAGAAUGUCAGGAGCGAAGCGAAAGCGAUAAGUUAUCCACCUGGGGAGUACGGCCGCAAGGUUGAAACUCAAAGGAAUUGACGGGGGCCCGCACAAGCGGAGGAACAUGUGGUUUAAUUCGAUGAUACGCGAGGAACCUUACCCGGGCUCGAACGGUGCAGUAAUAUGGUAGAGAUAUCAUAGCUAGCAAUAGACUGUAUCGAGGUGCUGCAUGGUUGUCGUCAGCUCGUGCCGUGAGGUGUAGGCUUAAGUGCCAUAACGAGCGCAACCCUUGUUGUUAGUUGCCAUCAGGUAAAGCUGGGGACUCUAGCGAGACUGCCACCGUAAGGUGCGAGGAAGGGGGGGAUGACGUCAAAUCAGCACGGCCCUUACGUCCGGGGCGACACACGUGUUACAAUGGUGGAUACAGAGGGGCGCUACCCAGAGAUGGGAUGCGAAUCUCUAAAGUCCAUCUCAGUUCGGAUUGGAGUCUGCAACUCGACUCCAUGAAGUUGGAUUCGCUAGUAAUCGCGCAUCAGCCAUGGCGCGGUGAAUACGUUCCCGGGCCUUGUACACACCGCCCGUCAAGCCAUGGGAGCCGGGGGUGCCUGAAGUUCGUGACCGUAAGGAGCGACCUAGGGCAAAACUGGUAACUGGGGCUAAGUCGUAACAAGGUAGCCGUACCGGAAGGUGUGGCUG